rnacentral:rRNA from 1 species
CCCUACUAUGCUAGGCCGUUAAUCAGACAGCAUACCAACCCCGCUGUCCGCCAGAGAACUACGAGCAAGCAGCUUAAAACUCAAAGGACUUGGCGGUGUCCCAAAACAACCUAGAGGAGCCUGUCCUAUAACCCGAUACUACACGCUACACCCAACCGCCCAUUGCAACCCAACUCGCAGCCUAUAUACCGCCGUCGCCAGCCCACCUUAUGAAAGCCACCAAGUGGGCAAAAAAGUCUAACCCACUAAUACGUCAGGUCGAGGUGUAGCUCAUGGGGCGGAGGAGAUGGGCUACAUUCUCGUUUUACGAUCACACGGACAGCGACAUGAAAUACCCGCUAGAAGGCGGAUUUAGUAGUAAAGUAGAUAACCUUGUCCACUUUAAUAUUGCUCUGGGACACGCACACACCGCCCGUCACCCUCUUCAACCCCCGCACCUAACAAAUUCAUAAUAAACCGGCUAAACCCAAAGAAGAGACAAGUCGUA